rnacentral:rRNA from 1 species
UACAGAGGUCCCAAGCGUUGUUCGGAUUCACUGGGCGUAAAGCGCGUGUAGGCGGCUGGUCAAGCGUGGUGUGAAAUCUCCGGGCUCAACCCGGAAACUGCAUUGCGAACUGACCUAGCUGGAGUGCAGGAGAGGGCAGCGGAAUUCCCGGUGUAGCGGUGAAAUGCGUAGAUAUCGGGAAGAACACCAGUGGCGAAGGCGGCUGCCUGGCCUGUAACUGACGCUGAGACGCGAAAGCGUGGGGAGCGAACCGG